AUUGAACGCUGGCGGAAUGCUUUACACAUGCAAGUCGAGCGGCAGCGCGGGGCAACCUGGCGGCGAGCGGCGAACGGGUGAGUAAUACAUCGGAACGUACCCAGUUGUGGGGGAUAGCCCGGCGAAAGCCGGAUUAAUACCGCAUACGACCUGAGGGUGAAAGGGGGGGAUCGCAAGACCUCUCGCAGUUGGAGCGGCCGAUGGCGGAUUAGCUAGUUGGUGGGGUAAAGGCCCACCAAGGCGACGAUCCGUAGCGGGUCUGAGAGGACGGCCCGCCACACUGGGACUGAGACACGGCCCAGACUCCUACGGGAGGCAGCAGUAGGGAAUAUUGGACAAUGGGGGGAACCCUGAUCCAGCCAUGCCGCGUGAGGGAAGAAGGUCCUCUGGAUUGUAAACCUCUUUUGGCAGGAAACAAACCUGCGCUAUACGCGCAGCUGAGGGUACCUGCAGAAUAAGCACCGGCUAACUCCGUGCCAGCAGCCGCGG
rnacentral:rRNA from 1 species